rnacentral:lncRNA from 10 species
GCCCACACCAGGCAUAUUGGACCUUGCCCAUCUACACCUCAGCCCCACAGAGCAAGGAGAGGGCCAUUGGCAAGGAACUGAGGUGGCCUUCGAUCAACAGCCCACAAGGAAUGGAAUCCUGCCAAUAACAAUCAAAUGGUCCGAGGCAUCCAAGCAUGGCCUAUUGCCUGUGUCUUUAUUCUGAACAGAACAGGGCAGCCUUGGGAAAAUGCUGGCUGCUCAGCUAGCUCACUUAAAAAAAAUCACCUGAAGACUUCCUCCAAAUGGUUCAUAACUGAUAGGAGGGGAUGGUUGCUAGUGUUAAGCAAGACGGGACAAAGGAGUGGAGACUGAACUUGCUCUCUUUACAAGGUGAAUUUAGACAUAUGAGCACUCCAGGAGGAGAUCUGAUUUGACAAACAUGUCUAGAAAGAGGAAAAGCAAGCACUGGCAUUAACUUGGCUUCCACUGAGACUAGGCUCCAUUAGUGAACUAAAUGUUGGUAUUCUGGGAAAAGCCAGCUUGUUACUGGAAAUUUUAAUUCUUUGAAAAAAAUGGCAUUAGAUUUGCCUUUGGUUGUUGCAUUCCAAGAGCUCUUGCCUAUGAAACCUUUCUUGAUCAUAGAGUGCAGCAAGUCUACCAGAAUGUUCAAUUUAUCUGCUACCAGUCAUCAUUUCUUGCCCUGGCAGACAUUGCUAAUCAAUCUGAUGCUGACUCAGCUCACAUUUAAACUAAGAUUUCCUGAGAUGAUUCUGUAUGCAACCACUACCAACUGAUGAGUGCUGACAUGAAUAUGAAACCUGUUUGAACUCCUUGUGCUUUUAUGGUGUGUACUUUACAAUGAACUCUGAUCUAUUCACUACCAUUGAGUUUUAGUGGCAUUUGAUAAUGUUGCACUUGAUUAUAUUGUUAUAGUAUCCUCUUUUUUGAUUCAAAUCUGUUAAAAAUUGUUUAUCUCCAAAACGUUUAAGUACCUAGGGCACUUGGACUGUGUUUUAUACUACUUUGUGACCUUCCCAGUGUCAAGAUGGGUACAGACUAGAUGCUCAAUAAAUAUUUGGGUGAUUAAUUACCUAAGGAAUUAGGAUUAAUCACCUAAAGGAUUCUUUGGUUGAUAAACCUAAGGAAUUCAAUAGAAUGGAAGUCUAGGAAAAACUUUGCUUGCAUGGAACUAUCAAAGUAAAGCUUUGGACUGUGAAUAAUUCAGUCAACCUGCAAGCCUCGAUUAUCUGCUCCGAGUUUGUGAAGACCAUUGCUGUUGUCCCCGAGGUGUAUUGAUAAGUUAACAUGAUCGUAACUCUCAAGAUGUUUAUGGUUCAGUACCAGGAGCAAGAGAGAUAAGUGUGAUCAUCAGAAUUGUAGAAAUAUAAAAGUGGUGCAGAGGAGAAAGACUGAGAUGAAUGAAGUUGACAAGGAUAACAGGUUGAACACUCCAUAGUGGAAAGAGGCAGUGAGAUGGGAAAUUAUUCCAUAAAGCUUCCUUCAAAGAGUGUCAGCAAGAUGCAAUGCCAAUGGAAUAGAAAAAUCUUUAGAAUCACAGUGUCAUAUUUGAGGGACCUUUGACUUUACAUGAAAUUACCACUGCAUGAGUACAGCAACACUUUAAUCUUGGAUAUUCCUUUAUUAUUUAUUCAUCCAACCUAGCUUGCAUAAAUAUUUCCUUGGGCUUUUUUGUUUUUCCAUGUUUGUUGGCACUGAUUUUUCAGCAAAGGAGCCUCUUAGACUGAAUGUGCUGUUAAACUGUGGCCUCCUAGGCCUAACCCACUUGAUAGCCUGCAGUUUGUGAUGGUACCUCUGCUGCCCACUCCAACCACAUCCCCUUCUUCUACCUGCCUGAUCCACCCAGAUCCCCUCUGAUUAAUUAUUCACACCUAUAUAUCUUCAACUUCCAUUAGGACCUCCCUCACGUUGUGGUGCUUCUUUACCCGCAAAAUGCAGAGCCCUGGCCGGGUGCGGUGGCUCACGCCUGUAAU